rnacentral:lncRNA from 1 species
CUCUAAAAUUUAAACACAUCCCUCAUUCUCUCUCUCUCUUGAAUUCUGUCACCACCAUUAUCUUUAAGAUUUGUUCAAGAGUAGGAGUGGGCUCUCAUUUCUCUAUCAUGAAAAUCUUUCACCAACAUCAUCUUCAAGAUCUGAUGAAGGGAAGGAGCGGGCGGUUCCGGCGGUGGUGAGGAGCGACGGUGAAUGGUGGUUGGUGGCGGCGGUAUCUCCCGCGGCUCUCCGGCGACAUCUUCGGCUUAUGGAGAAAAGAUAAAGAAGAUGGUAGAAAUGGUGGGUUUUUGUGGUGCAUAAAGUGGGUUUCUCAGGCUGCCGCCCCCACCGUCACCGUCAUCUCAGGCUACCGCCCCCACUGUCAUCUCAGGCUGCCGCCCCCUGCCCUCGGCCAUCUUCACUGGUUUUUAUGGUUUUGAGAAGUGGGUUUUUGCAAGAGGUGGUUGUUUGAUCUUUGAAUCUGGUCCGUUUUUUGAAACGAUUUUUGCAUUUGUGUUUUUUUAUUUGGUUAGUUUUUGUGUUUGCAUAAAGUGACCCUAUUUACGGCUGUUUUUUUUAUGUGUUCUUGAUAUGUGUUCUUGUAUUUUCUGGGUUUGAAUUUUGUUGAUUCUGUUUUUUUUUUUUAUGUUUGUUACGUGUUCUGGGUUUGAAUUUUGUUGAUUCUGUGUUCUUGAUAUGUGUUCUUGUAUUUUCUUGAAUCUGUGGUUUUUUUUGUUGAACAUGGGUUUGAAUUUUGUUGAUUCUGGGUUUUAAUUUUUGUUGAAUCUGGUGGUGGGUGUUCGAACCUGGGUUUGAAUCUUUUGGGUUUGUGCUGCAGGUUUGAUUUCUGUUGAAUAUGGUUUUGAAUCUUGGGGGUUUGACUUUCUGGUUUGAUUCUGUUGAAUCUGGGCUUGAAUGUUGUUCAUGUUGAAUCUGGGUAUUCAUGAUGUUAUUGGGACCUUUUUUGAUCUUAUUGAAUCUGCGUUUGAAUGAUAUUCUGUUUUUGAAUGAUGUUCAUGUUGAAUCUGGGUUUGAAUGUUGUUCAUGUUGAAUCUGGGUUGAAUAUGGUGGCUUUUUGAAUCGUCGGUGAUGAUGCAAAAAAUAAAAGGACGAUGGCGCGGCAAGGAUGGUGGAGGGUAGGUUUUUGAACCCGCAACCCCACUUUACAGCCUCUGAUGUUCGGAAAUCUGAGCCAAAACUUUUUUUUUCCAGAAUCCACUCGUUCUUUUUGAUUUUUGUUUUGUUGGGUUUUUUUAUAUUUUUUUGAGGCAUCGAUGAUGAUAGCAAACUAUCUGAGACACCUAUCGAGUAACGAUUUUCUGGGUGCGUUCGUUUUUGUGUAAAAAAGUUUUUGUAAAAGAAAAAAAAUUAAACCGUAAACUUUUUAAAUUAAGCCGUAAACUUUUUUACUUAAAACGUAAAACGUAAAAAGUUUUACGUCAAACGUAAAACGUAAAACUUUUUACGUAAAACGUAAAACUUUUUACGUAAAACAUAAAAACGUAAAACGUAAAAAAUCGACGCGUCAAACGUAGAAAAACGUUAACGUAAGAAACCGGCGCGUAAAACGUAAAAAACGUCAACGUAAAAACGGCGCGUUGAAAAAACGACGCGUGAAAAAGUCGGGCGUAAAACGGGUCGUAAAAAACGGGCCGUAAAAACGGCGUUAAAAGACGGGUCGUAAAAAACGGGUCGUAAAAAACGGGCCGUAAAAACGGCGUUAAAAGACGGGUCGUAAAAAAUGGGUCGUAAAAAACGGGCUGUAAAAACGACGUUAAAAGACGGGUCGUAAAAAACACGCGUAAAAAACGGGUCAUAAAAAAACGCACGUAAAUUUUUUUAUCAAAAAAUCUGAUUUUCAAUAUGUUUGUUUUAAUAAAAAAAAAACCCCUGAAUU